rfam:Xanthomonas oryzae pv. oryzae KACC10331, complete genome.
AUGUGCCACGGGUGUACGGCGGCACCCGUACGCCGUCUGCACGCAGCUGACAACGUAUCGCUAGGUUUUGUGAGCC